UUUGGUUUCCNCCCUCUAUCCCCAAAAAGCGUAUUUGACUUCCCAACUAUUUAUCCUAUCCCUCUUUUCGUUAACGGUUCAAAAUCCCUUAUUCAUUCACUCUAUUCUCUUAGAAAUCGAUCUGGACAGAAAUGCCCUUUUCUUAUCACAAGUCUUGUCUUAUAUAUGAUAUACAUACAAAUGAACAUCUUUGAGCAAGAAAUCCCCAUUUGAAUGAUUUACAAUCGAUAUAACUACUCAUACUGAAACUUACAAAGUACUCUUUUUUAAGAUCCAAGAAAUUCCAGUACCUAGAUAAAACUUUGUAAUCCCCUUUCCUUCUUUUAAUUGACAUAGAUCCCAUUUUCUAAUAAAAUGAGGAUACUACGUUGGGACUGGUCGGGAUAGCUCAGCUGGUAGAGCAGAGGACUGAAAAUCCUCGUGUCACCGUCAAAUAAAA
rnacentral:misc_RNA from 1 species